rnacentral:rRNA from 1 species
UACGUAGGGUCCGAGCGUUGUCCGGAAUUAUUGGGCGUAAAGGGCUCGUAGGCGGUCUGUUGCGUCGGGAGUGAAAAUUCACAGCUUAACUGUGAACUUGCUUCCGAUACGGGCAGACUUGAGGUAUUCAGGGGAGAACGGAAUUCCUGGUGUAGCGGUGAAAUGCGUAGAUAUUGGGAGGAACACCAGUGGCGAAGGCGGCUCACUGGACCGGAACUGACGCUGAGGCGCGAAAGCGUGGGGAGCAAACAGG